ACCAGCCGACACCUAAGUGUCACGAGCUGUGACUCCCCGGGGGCCGGAUGGGGAGCGAGCCCGCGAAGGAGCAAAUUCUCCCAAAUUCGCCCACGGUCUGAAAUCCAAACAUGAGCCAUAUGGCUGUCUCUGAUCUGAGCACCACAGACCUACACACUGCAGAUCCGCAGUUUGUCAUUAACCAACUGAAAAAAUGUCACAUCUUUCGAAAACAAAAAUGACCUUUGAGGGGAUGUUCCGGCUGUUAGGAGGACCGGGCGGCCGUGAAGAACAGGCUCCCCCUCAGGACCCGCCGGGCCGCUGGCGAAGCCGCCAGGCCGGGAGGCGCGGGCAGCUUUUGUGGCUGACUGCAGACGCUGCUAAGCGCAAAGCUGACAAACCCAGCUGAUGGGCACGUGUUGUGCUGAGGUGUCUUCCUGACCUAAAAAAGCCCUCAAAUUCCGAUUAUCCUUCCCUCCAUCUAGGUGGCCAGAUGCCACAAAUCCCUGCAUUGGAAAUUGCUUUCAGUUAAGACGCUUUGGGUCUUAGGUGGAUGCCAGUGUAUUCCCAGGGAAGAGUGACUUUAAUCCGUUAUUUUCGACAUGGGUCAAUAAGAUUGGCCGUCAUUACUCAGCAAGGUGGCACACAGGGCUGGCACGUUUUCUCUGGGGAUUGGGGACAGUGGCGGGAGGGGAAUGCCUUAGUUGAGGUCCCCGUUACAAAGGAGCAUAUAACCUUCCACGAAUGAUAAAAGGGGCUUGCGAAAACACUAGCGAUUUAGAAGAACCCCUAAGUAAAACGAGGACAAUUAAAUUCAGCAGAUUCACUGACACUUGCUCAGAGGCAAAGAAGGUGAAUGAGUAGUAGAAAGAAAAGCUGUGCGUCCCGGAUUUCUCAUACGGGGACAGCUGCGGAAGGUUCCGGCACGGUGCCUUGUAAGGGAUCAGCAAGAAUGAUUCUGCAGAGCUGAGAGCAGAGACCCAGACGGUUAUUUGGACACCUGCGCUCCCAGCAGCGUUACUCACAACGCCUGACUACAAGGGGACGGGAUUCGUCCAGAAAAGGAAAUGAAAUGUUGACACUGUGCUGCGAUGCGGGUGGACCCUGAGGACAUUGUGGGCGGUACAGUAAGGUGCAAGGACUGGGCAGGCAAAAAUACUUCCCCGAAUGGUCCUAUGUUGGUGCCUCUGCUCCGAGGCACCAGGCACCGUGGCUUCUGCUGUGUAUGCCCCUCUCUCGGCCUCUGCCUCACUCAACGGAUUUUCCCGCCCGGACGGCAUCCCUGGCAGUCGGGGCACAGCCUCGUUCUGAGUAGUUCACCCCAGGCUUCGGGUCCUGGUCGCAUCUUAAAGCGCAGGAACAGUUUGAGGCAGCCUUUUCUAAUUUCUAGCCCGGGGCCGGAGACUGCACGCUCACGGAGCGUUCUGGAUCUGUCUGCAUCUCGGAGCAUGACCUGCGGGCCACUGGCUCUCGUAGGUGUGAGCUGCACCGGCCAUGGACUCGAGAAUGCGGUCCCCAUCUAUCGUGCUCAAUACGUCAUGCUUCCAUCCCCCUUGAGGUCACACUGACACUGAUCCCAAGAAAACCUGGGCUCGUUUGCUCCUGUAGUAGAAAAAUAAAGGAAUAUGGCGGGGGAAAGGCAGCACCAGAAAGGAGAAGACAGAAGUCCCACAGCAGGCUUUGUGAAGGAUUUCCUGUGUGACAUCAGGCCAGUCACCUUACCUCUCUGAGCCCGUGUGUCCAGUGAGGAGUCUGCAUUCCCUGAGUGUGACCGAAACAACGUUCCCUAGAAAGAUUUCCUUCCCUCGCUGCCCCCCGGGCACACGUGCUUUUUCCCCAAAUGCAGUCUGUCUCCACCGCCUGCUCCUCACUGACAAAAGUACCGUCACGGGGCCUGGCCUCCGGUGGCGGCCCCCGAGGGUCCCCGAAGAAAGACCACUUCACGUCUCCGCGGCACAGCCGGGUUCCAGGAGGCACGGAAAGGCUAGGUAUCUCGUCCAAGGUCACACACGAGGAGAUGCCGGGGCUGGGGGCCCAUGUAAGCUGAUCCAGUGCCAAAGCACGUGUUCUCAUCAUGCGCACCCUGCUUCCUCCAGGGACAGGAGCGUCUGGUGGCUCACCUCCUCGUUCAGGCUGCACAGUGCUCUUCUGGAUCUCUGUCACUCCUCAACCCUCUUCUCUUGUUGGCUUUGCCAGACCGAUCCUCGAAACCCUCUUCCAACGCCCGAGAUGUAGUGUCGACGUUUACAGGGUGCCUGCGCGUGCCCGGGACUGUGCAAGGGCCUCUGUGCACCCUCACCGAUCUGCAGUCCCUCAUCCACAAUUCCCAAAUUACAUAAAAUAUGUCUCUACGACCCAGAAAUUUUUUUCGGAGGUUUGCGGCAAAAGUAUUUCCCGGUCUAAUAAUGAGGAACCGUGUAAAGUGUUCGUUUGGCACACUUACUGCAAUUACAUUUGUGUGCGUUUUGCUGCGUAAAUGUGAAAAAAACGUGUCGUGAUGGGGUGCUCCCCCAGAAGUGGGUACCACUGGGUGUGUUACUGUAUGUGCACGUAUAUGUGCCUAUCUGGCCACACACGUGCUGUGUUGACUCCCUGCCCCCCCCCCCCCCCAUACCCUCCGCGUCACAGCCCGCCUCCCCUCUCUGAGGCCAUUUAUUGCGACAGAUGACUUCUCUCCCGCCGGGAUCCAAGUUCCGUGUCCCAUUUCGCUUCAACAGCCCUCGGUUUCCGGGAAAGCCUCUUACAUAACCUCGGGUCUCUUUUUAUUUCUGGAGAAGUCAGCUGCGUGUUGCCUUCAGACCAGCAAGGCCCACGGGGCCUCAUCAGAGCCGGGCCUAAUGAAGGAAGAUUUUCCGCAGAGUGCUGAUUUAUUUUCUUCCCUCCUGAGGUGUGAGCCGUGUGGGUCAGAAUAACUUACCCUGCUCUACUGAAGAGAAAUUAUGUCUCGAUGGUUCCCCAAAGGACAAUUGAGUCCUCCGUCCGUAUGUAAGGGUGGCCGCGGGAAUGUUCCGUUCCAAAGCCGUAAAAACAGCACAGGGUGUACCUCAUUAUCAUGCUUACAGCAGACUGACUCCUUCCUUAACUGUAAACUCUCCUGACGUCUCCAACUGGGAUCAUUGCGGUGCUUAAGGGAACUUUUGGCCUUGCGAAAAACACUUAGCCACGGUCUGCACAGCAAGGGGUGCACUUACAGGUGAUCCAGGAAAGCCUCUGUGGCCAGCAAGUGCUAAUUCGUCAGGGAGCCCUCCUGUCUUCGUUCCCCCUGUGUCGCUGUCCACCUCCACCUCGACCUCACACCCUUGCUUCCGACGCUCGGGAGCCUAGGGGAGCUCGGUCCUACCCGGCGGCGAGGGGGCAGGAAGGAGAUUCACCUGCUUCGUUUGGAGACUAUACACGCUGCUGCUGGCUCACCCAACCCCAGCUUCCUUCUCUGUUGGGAACGCAGCUCAGCUAAAGCUCCUGGCGUCCCGGCCGCCGCAUAAAGCAAAUGCCUGAGAUUUGGUCACUGCACUGCACACGGACACGGCAUGUGCCGAGGAAGGCCCGGCCCAGAGAAGCCCGACUCUCGUUCCCCAUCCACGAGCUGGACGAAGAAGCCUCGAAGGAGGACAGAACCACAAGGUGGAGAGGACCUGGGUCCCAGAGGCACCAUGUGGAGGACGCCCUCUGUGCACCUGCCCGGAACACGAACAUGACCACUGUUAAAUCACUUGACCCGGCCCUGACAAGGCGUCGCCCAUAUGCACGUCCCAGAAGCCUUCUGCUGGGAUCUGGGCAUUGCCCGAGAUCCCUCGUUGAGAUAUUCUCCCUCUACCCUGAACCAGCUUACCCGCCUCUUUAGUUAUUCAGCAAAGACCAUGUAGGCUCAGUCGCCCUCCCCGGCAAUACAGAGUCUGGCUGGGCAUCGGCUACGCCAGAUUCCACUCACAUCACCCUACCAGAGGGUGGUCCGUGCAGCUGUUAGUGCCCAGAGAGGAAAUUCCACUUAUUUCUUCCUAAUCCUGCUGUGGCCGAGAGAACGGUUUUAUUUCCAUACCCCCUAACCCUCCCAGGUGUCCUGGGCUCUUACACUCUUAGGAGUCAUUUGAACCCAUCUCGGAGGUGGCUCUUGCAAAUCAAAACCAGACAUCUCACUGGCCAUCUCUUGGUCAGACGUCCUCGCUGGACGGGAAGGAGAAGUAAGUCCGGGUGCCGAACCAGCUCUCUCGGGGCUUCGGGAUCGUGUCAGUGGAAGACACUCGUUAUCUCCAUCUCAAUCCGGGUGGUAGGCGCCGGACAAGCUGUCUUGCCUGCUGCCGAUCAUCUGAGCUUCACAGCCAGCCUUCAAAUCCCCAUCCUACAGAGGAGGACACCGAGCCACAGAGAGAUUUGAGCAGUGCCCCUGCUGUCGCAGCUAGCAGGCGGCCGAAUUGGGACCGAGCGGGCAGGGCGGAAGCGUGCACCACGCGGAGGCCGCAGCCGGAGUCCGCUCUGUGCGCCUGCUGCCCCUGGGGAGGGCAUAUUCCGCAUCCUCCUGAAAGGGGUCAGAAAGGGGGUUUCCUUACGAAACGUCUCAGUUAAGUAUUGAUUCAGUUAGAUCACGUCACAACCUCUGGAUAGGAACUGGAUAAAAAUACGGGGCUGGAAGACGCUGACAGCGACCUCGUGGCGUCUCGGUGAUUCUCGGAGACCCGGCUGGCGGAGCCCACGCAACGCUGGCCCUCGGUUCUUCUGACUGCGAACCCACUGCGCGUGUCACUGCAUAACAGACGUCAGCAGACCCCCGUGACAUAAAAAUGAAAUGAUGGACCUUU